rnacentral:tRNA from 1 species
GCCCCCGUGGCUCAAUUGGAUAGAGCGUCUGGUUGCGGACCAGAAGGUUACAGGUUCAAGUCCUGUCGAGGGCA